GUGCCCGUAGCUCAGCCGGUAGAGCACGUGACUUUUAAUCAUGGGGUCGUGGGUUCGAGUCCCACCGGGCACA
rnacentral:tRNA from 3 species